rnacentral:rRNA from 1 species
CUCCGUAGGGGAACCUGCGGAGGGAUCAUUACUGAGUUACCGCUCUAUAACCCUUUGUGAACAUACCUAACCGUUGCUUCGGCGGGCAGGGGAAGCCUCUCGCGGGCCUCCCCUCCCGGCGCCGGCCCCACCACGGGGACGGGGCGCCCGCCGGAGGAAACCAAACUCUAUUUACACGACGUCUCUUCUGAGUGGCACAAGCAAAUAAUUAAAACUUUUAACAACGGAUCUCUUGGUUCUGGCAUCGAUGAAGAACGCAGCGAAAUGCGAUAAGUAAUGUGAAUUGCAGAAUUCAGUGAAUCAUCGAAUCUUUGAACGCACAUUGCGCUCGCCAGCAUUCUGGCGAGCAUGCCUGUUCGAGCGUCAUUUCAACCCUCAAGCACCGCUUGGUUUUGGGGCCCCACGGCACACGUGGGCCCUUAAAGGUAGUGGCGGACCCUCCCGGAGCCUCCUUUGCGUAGUAACUAACGUCUCGCACUGGGAUUCGGAGGGACUCUUGCCGUAAAACCCCCCAAUUUUUUACAGGUUGACCUCGGAUCAGCGUAGGAAU